GCUCAAAUUUGAAUCUCCUUCGGGCGAAUUGUAGUUUAGAGAAGCGUUUUCGGCUCGACGGUUGGUACAAGUUCUUUGGAACAAGACAUCAUAGAGGGUGAAAAUCCCGUCUUUGACCAAUCUUACGGCUUUGUGAUACGUUUUCCAAGAGCCGGUUUGUUUGGGAAUGCAGACCAAAAAGGGAGGUAAAUACCUUCUAAAGCUAAAUAUUGGCGAGAGACCGAUAGCGAACAAGUACCGUGAGGGAAAGAUGAAAAGAACUUUGAAAAGAGAGUGAAACAGUACGUGAAAUUGUCAAAAGGGAAACGUUUGAAAGCAGUAUUGCGGCCAGGAUUUCAGCCUCGGUGUAUUGUCCUGGUGGCGAGUCAACAUCAGUUCGGUUUGGAGCAAAAAGCCGUGUGAAGGUAGCCCUUUGGGUAUUAUAGCGCAUGGUCGUACUCUAGACGGGACUGAGGACAGCAGCGUUUUUGGCUUUGCACACUCGCGCUUGGGAUGUUGACGAAAUGGUUUUAAGCGACCCGUCUUGAAACACGGACCAAGGAGUCUAACAUAUAUGCAAGUAUUUGGGUGGCAAACCCUUGUGCGCAAUGAAGUGAAAAGGUGGGAUCAUUGAGCACCAUCGACCGCGCCAGAUUCCGAUCUCGGCGUGAGUAUGAGCAUAGAUGCUGGGACCCGAAAGAUGGUGAACUAUGCCUGAAUAGGGUGAAGCCAGAGG
rnacentral:rRNA from 1 species